UCAGAUUGAACGCUGGCGGCAGGCCUAACACAUGCAAGUCGAGCGGGGUUUUCGGACCUAGCGGCGGACGGGUGAGUAAUGCGUAGGAAGCUGCCCGAUAGAGGGGGAUACCAGUUGGAAACGACUGUUAAUACCGCAUAAUGUCUACGGACCAAAGUGUGGGACCUUCGGGCCACAUGCUAUCGGAUGCGCCUACGUGGGAUUAGCUAGUUGGUGAGGUAAUGGCUCACCAAGGCGACGAUCUCUAGCUGGUUUGAGAGGAUGAUCAGCCACACUGGAACUGAGACACGGUCCAGACUCCUACGGGAGGCAGCAGUGGGGAACAUUGGACAAUGGGCGCAAGCCUGAUCCAGCCAUGCCGCGUGUGUGAAGAAGGCCUUCGGGUUGUAAAGCACUUUCAGCGAGGAGGAAGGGGUAGUAGUUAAUAGCUGCUACUUUUGACGUUACUCGCAGAAGAAGCACCGGCUAACUCUGUGCCAGCAGCCGCGGUAAUACAGAGGGUGCAAGCGUUAAUCGGAAUUACUGGGCGUAAAGCGCACGUAGGCGGUUGGUUAAGUUGGAUGUGAAAGC
rnacentral:rRNA from 1 species